GAUGAUGUUUCCGUGCCCAAUUUUGACUGUCCAUCUUAUAUGAAACUUUUUUAUAAUUUACAUUUUCAUUGUUGUUAGAUGAUAAAACAUGAUUAAUAUUUUAUGCGUGAUUGUCUUUUUAAUUUUUUCAUAUUUUUUUAAAUAAGACGGACGGUCAAACGUUGGACAUGGAAAUC
rnacentral:pre_miRNA from 1 species